CCAACUUAAAAAAUAAAUAUACGAAAUUAUACAUUUUCUUUCCGAAAUUUCUGGAAGACCAUUCUUAUUUACAAAAACCUGAUAAAGUUACAAGCUUUAUUAUUAUUUUUUCCGGGAAAAUUUUGUGCAGGUCUUUUCUAUCCAAACAGAAAGAGGAUUCUACGUUCUUGAGUGUGAAUAGAUGAAAUUGUGUGGGGUUUCAGCUGCUGUUGCUUCCACUCAGAGAAUCACUUUAAACCAUGCUGGUUAUGCAGAGCUUGCACUGUCCAACCCAAGGGGCAAGCUCUCACACUUGUCAUGUAGGCAUCAAUUGAGACAGCCUGUGAAUGCUGUACAAUUAUUAGUGGUAAAGAGGCGGGAACUUACACCAAAGACUUUAGCCUUUUCUGUCCCAAAUGAAAACGGUGAAGCUGAAAGAGAAACAUCCAAUGAUUGCACUGAUGAUGGCCUGGUUUUGGAAACACAAACAUCGCAUGAUUCUACUGAUAAUCACCUGGUUUCAGAUAGAGAAACAUCUCAUGAUUGCACUGAUGAUGGCCUGGCUGUGUGUUCUGAGAAUAAUGAAUGUUCUGAGCACCAAGAUGUAGAAGGUGUUACUUCACCUUCAUCUUUGGAGGAAGAUAUUUCUCAGAGUGCUGAGGAUUCGAGAAAGCAAAGAAACCUUCUUGAAAAACUAAAGGGUAUUCGCUUACAUGUAUUAGCAUCUGAACAAUGGAACACUUUACAACUCCAAUUGUGUCACGGGCAUUACUUGGAGAGUGCAACAAACUUAAUUCAUUACCUGGCUCUGAAAGGCCUUGACAUUAAGCAACUGAAGGAAGAUCUCCGUUCUACUGGUCUUUUGAAUUUGAAGACUAUCAAUUCAUUUGUUCUAGCAUGUCUAAAUGCUGGAAUCCAACUAUUAGAGAACCGGAAUUCUAGUUCUCAUGAUACAAAAGAGAACAUUAGUGUGGGAAGUUGCACUAAGGAAAUAUUGUACCAAAGUCAAAAUGAGAAGCUCACAGUGAGAGCAUUGAGGAAGAAACUGUUGUUCAAUAAAGAGUUAUUGUUGGGUGCAAUUCGGGGUAACAGAACCAUUAAUGUUAUGGUGACAAUUGGCCAAGAAGCUAUUGAGAGUGACACGCUUAUAAGUGACGUUCUUAAGGCUGGGGCCUCCAUUAUUAGGAUAAAUUGUGCUCAUGGAGACCCUAGUGUAUGGAGUGAAAUAAUCAGAAAAGUAAAAAGUAGUUCUCAAAUGUUGGAGAUGCCAUGUCGAACUCUUAUGGAUUUAGCUGGACCAAAAUUCCGUACAGGGAAGUUGAAGCCUGGUCCAUGUGUAAUUAACAUAUCCCCCAAGAAAAAUGCCACUGGUAAUGUGAUAUUGCCGGCUCAAGUUUGGCUUUCUUACAAAGGAUCAGGUCCUCCUCCUUCUCACUUGUCUCCUGAUGCAGCCCUAUUCAUAGAUGACCAAAAUUUUCUCAAUGAGCUCAAGGUAGGUGACACUUUGAAGUUUUAUGAUGCUAGAGGGAAAAAAAGGAUGCUCAAGAUUACUAGGCAGUUUCAUGUCUUUUCUAGUACUGGGUUUGCGGCUGAAUGUACAAAGACUGCUUAUAUUCAGUCUGGGACUGAAUUGUGCACUAAAGGAAAGAAAGGUAGGCUGUUAACUGGAAAGGUGGUAAAUGUCCCUGCCAAAGAGCGAUUUAUCAAAUUGAAAGUUGGAGACUUGCUAAUCAUAUCACGAGAUAGUUCAUUGGAUCAGGAAGAACUAUCUGGUCUGACAAGUGGUGCUCAUAGGAUAACUUGUUCAUCUGGCUAUCUAUUUGAUUCAGUCAUACCAGGAGAACCUAUAGCUUUUGAUGAUGGAAAGAUUUGGGGUGUAAUCCAGGGAGCAAGUAACUCAGAGAUUGUUGUCUCGAUCACUCGUGCUGGUCUUACAGGUACUAAACUUGGAUCAGAAAAAUCCAUAAACAUCCCAGAAAGCAAUAUUCGGUUUGAAGGUCUUACCUCAAAGGAUCUCAUGGAUCUUGAAUUUGUUGCCUCUCAUGCUGACAUGGUAGGCGUUUCUUUUGUUCGAGAUGUUCGUGAUAUUGUUGUGCUUCAAAAAGAAUUAGAGAAACGGAAACUUAGGAACCUGGGUAUAGUUUUGAAAAUUGAGACAAAGAGUGGGUUUCAGAACCUGCCUCUCAUGCUCUUGGAAGCUAUGAAAUCUUCGAACCCUCUUGGGGUUAUGAUUGCAAGAGGAGAUCUUGCUGUGGAGUGCGGGUGGGAAAGGUUGGCUGAUAUACAGGAAGAAAUUCUUUCUGUAUGUGCUGCUGCCCAUGUACCAGUCAUUUGGGCAACUCAGGUUCUGGAGUCACUUGUCAAGUCUGGUGUCCCUACGAGAGCUGAGAUUACUGAUGUUGUCAAUGGAAGGAGGGCAAGCUGCGUAAUGUUAAACAAAGGGCAAUAUAUUGUGGAGGCUGUUUCAACUUUGGAUACCAUCCUUCACAUGAACAAUUCUCAGAUGAAAGCAGACCUGGGGCCUAUUAUACUUUCGAGCUACUUCUAUAGCUGAAAAAUUUCCCCUUGAAUGUAAUCACCUUUUUGUAACGAGCACACUAGAUGAGGAUUUUAGUCAUUCUAUCCCACCCAUUCUGUAAGAAAACCUGGAAAAAUGAAGCAUAUUUUUGCACAUCUCAGACAAAAUAAGGCAUUUUAGUCUGAUACAUCGGCUCCUGCUCGCGAGAGGCACACUGUAAAGCAUCAAGUCAUACUGAAGCACCUUAUGCUGAUAUAAUCCUCUUAUAAACCAGGCUCCAUUUCCCCGGUGGGCAUUCACUAUUUCCUUCUAUUAUGAGGGAACACCGGAUUGUUGGAUUUGGGUUUAUUGCAUUAGGAUUUAGUUUGCAUAGGCCCACACAGAUAUGCUGUGACUGGAUGCAGGUGUCUGAAUUCUCUAAAUUCAAAGCUAAUGCUGUGAUUUUUUAUAUAUAUACUGGUGCUGCAAUCGAGCUGUGCUAAUUAUUGUUGGCCUUGAGCUCAACUUGAUGGGGUAGAUGCACAGUUUGAGUUUAGGGGCUGCAGGAGUUCAAGAUAGGAAUUGUUAACUUAAACUUGGUUCAAGAAUUUAUAGUUAAAUCUAAUAUAUUGUAUAUUUAU